GAUGAACGCUGGCGGCGUGCCUAACACAUGCAAGUCGAGCGACCGGACGAGAAGCUUGUUUCUUUGAUGUUAGCGGCUGGCGGGUGAGUAACGCGUGGAUCACCCGCUUCUUUUUCUGGGAUAAUUACGGGAAUGCGUAGCUUAUACUAGAUCAUAUUUUGUACCGCAUGGUUCAAAGGUAAAUCACGGCCUUGGUGUAUCUUAUAGAUGGUUCCGCGCUGGCUUGUUUGGUUGGUAAGGUAACGGCUUACCAAGGCAACGAUGCAUAUCCGAGCUGAGAGGGUGAUCGGCCACACUGGAACGGAGACACGCUCCAGACUCCUACGGGAGGCAGCAGUAGGGAAUCGUGCGCAAUGGGCGAAAGCAUGACGGAGCAACGCCGCGUGAGUGAUGAAGGUCUUCGGAUCGUAAAACUCUGUUAUUAGGGAAGAACAUAUGUGUAAGUAACUGUGCACAUCUUGACGGUACCUAAUCAGAAAGCCACGGCUAACUACGUG
rnacentral:rRNA from 1 species